GUAGGUGGCAAGCGUUGUCCGGGAUUAUUGGGCGUAAAGCGCGCGCAGGCGGUUCUUUAAGUCUGAUGUGAAAGCCCACGGCUCAACCGUGGAGGGUCAUUGGAAACUGGAGAACUUGAGUACAGAAGAGGAAAGCGGAAUUCCACGUGUAGCGGUGAAAUGCGUAGAGAUGUGGAGGAACACCAGUGGCGAAGGCGGCUUUCUGGUCUGUAACUGACGCUGAGGCGCGAAAGCGUGGGGAGCAAACAGGGAUUAGAUACCCUGGUAGUCCACGCCGUAAACGAUGAGUGCUAAGUGUUAGGGGGGUUUCCGCCCCCGUUAGUGCUGCAGCUAACGCAUUAAGCACUCCGCCUGGGGAUACGGCCGCAAGGCUG
rnacentral:rRNA from 1 species